rnacentral:siRNA from 1 species
GCAUCGGCCCGCUUCGUCACC